rnacentral:rRNA from 1 species
GAUGAACGCUGGCGGCGUGCCUAAUACAUGCAAGUCGAGCGAACGGACGAGAAGCUUGCUUCUCUGAUGUUAGCGGCGGACGGGUGAGUAACACGUGGAUAACCUACCUAUAAGACUGGGAUAACUUCGGGAAACCGGAGCUAAUACCGGAUAAUAUUUUGAACCGCAUGGUUCAAAAGUGAAAGACGGUCUUGCUGUCACUUAUAGAUGGAUCCGCGCUGCAUUAGCUAGUUGGUAAGGUAACGGCUUACCAAGGCAACGAUGCAUAGCCGACCUGAGAGGGUGAUCGGCCACACUGGAACUGAGACACGGUCCAGACUCCUACGGGAGGCAGCAGUAGGGAAUCUUCCGCAAUGGGCGAAAGCCUGACGGAGCAACGCCGCGUGAGUGAUGAAGGUCUUCGGAUCGUAAAACUCUGUUAUUAGGGAAGAACAUAUGUGUAAGUAACUGUGCACAUCUGGACGGUACCUAAGCAGAAAGCCACGGCUAACUACGG